UCUUGUCGAGAUGGCUAAAUUUGCUAUAGUGCUGCUUUUCAUUGCCAUUAUUUUAAUGAUGAUGUUUUUAGGAAUCAUCGCUGUAAGAAACAUCAUCAUUAAAAUAAUGGCAAUGAAAAGCAGGUGUUAUUUUAAAAAAUCAGGAUGGACAACCCUUAAUCUAUACUUCUAUACUGUAUAUGAAAGAGAAUUCAGAGCUCUCACAGUAUGCUAUGUUGUCAAGCUCUGAAUUUCUAAUGAUGAUUAUUUUUUUUUUAGGAGCUCUUUCCAAGCCCUCUCAAACAUUUUCGAGCCCUCGCAGAUGUUGACUUUCGCCCCACUCUCCUUGCUGCUCGAGUCUCCCUCAGACAAUUGCAGAGGCUAUUGGAGACUGAUAUUUUAGAAGAAGGGAAGCUAAAGAUAUUGAUUGCCCAUAUCCAUGCAGUCCACAUGUGGAACCUGAUUAGCAGUUCAUUGGAUAAGAUCGAAGCAUGUUGGAGCAUUAUUUUCUAAAAUGCUUUGUACCAGCUCUUUGAAUGCAUAUUUGAUUUGUUCAAUGUGCCAUCGUAAUGGAAAAAUCAAUACUACAUCAAACUGAUUUUUUUCUAUACAUUAUCAUGGAGCUCAGACAUGGAUGUGAUGUUUGUUGUUUGUGAUAUUUAAUGUUAUUUUGGAGCUGUGAAAAUUGUAUAAACUGGCAUGAUAUUUAAUGAUUGCU